rnacentral:rRNA from 1 species
UUUAUGGAGAGUUUGAUCCUGGCUCAGGAUGAACGCUGGCGGCGUGCCUAAUACAUGCAAGUCGAGCGAACGGACGAGAAGCUUGCUUCUCUGAUGUUAGCGGCGGACGGGUGAGUAACACGUGGAUAACCUACCUAUAAGACUGGGAUAACUUCGGGAAACCGGAGCUAAUACCGGAUAAUAUUUUGAUCUGCAUGGUUCAAAAGU